GGAGUGAUCAACGUGGACGGAGGAAAUUUACACUUUUCUGGUUGUUCAUUCUUGAAUACAUCAGGUUCGAACCCUGUCGUUUUU
rnacentral:tRNA from 1 species